rnacentral:lncRNA from 1 species
ACAGACCGGCACCAAGGACAAUGAAGAGAGCAAGCAGUAAUUUUAAGGUGGUUGAAAAUAUGAAUGUGAACACAAAGAUGGGGCUCACAGUGGGAGACUGGUCCACCAUGAUAGCAUAUGAGAAGCCCACGUGACCACCAUGAGCAUGUGCACCGACCACGGGCCAUAAGAGAUACUACUCAGCCAUAGGCUACAAACAUUUGGUUUGCUUGGCAUGCACAUUCCUCUCUUGUAAAAUGAUGCAUCAGACUCUCAGAGCUAAAUUCGUUAAACCAUCUCCUUUUCCUCUGAAUCCCUGUCAAAAACAAAUCUAAAACUUUGAUUUGCUGUGCAACUUUGCCCGAAGGGAAAUACUGGACUAUUCUGGCCCUAGGCAUUUUCAGCCAUGCUGGGAGUUUUGUGUUAGUCUAGGCUGUGUAUUUCAGCUUCUGGCGAGUUUGUGAGCAUGACUUAGCAUCCUUGUAUUUUGAGAACUCUGGAAAGAGGGAUAACAAGUUUGUGUUUCUAGUUCUUCAAGCCCAAGGGCCAGCCUGGAGGCAGUGGGAGGUGCAUAAGCACCUUCUGCCUUGUGUUUAUCAUUUUGCCUUUGUCGUCCUAACUCAGCAGCCUCAAUCCUUCCUUUGAGAUGGAGUCUCACUCUCUCGCCAGGCAGAGUGCAGUGGCGUGAUCUCGGCUCACUGCAACCUCUACCUCCCAGGUUCAAGCAAUUCGCCUGCCUCAGCCUCCUGAGUAGCUGGGACUACAGAAGCGCGCCACCAUGCCCAGCUAAUUUUUGUAUUUUUAAUAGAGACAGGGUUUCACCAUGUUGGCGAGGAUGGUCUCAAUCUCUUGACCUCGUGAUCCGCCUGCCUCAGCCUCCCAAAGUGCUGGGAUUACAGGCGUGAGCCACCACGCCUGGCCAGCCUCAAUCCUUCUUUACAUCUGCUGCCAUCAAGCUGCUUUCAUCCUUUU